rnacentral:rRNA from 1 species
GAUGAACGCUGGCGGCGUGCCUAAUACAUGCAAGUCGAGCGAACAGACGAGAAGCUUGCUUCUCUGAUGUUAGCGGCGGACGGGUGAGUAACACGUGGAUAACCUACCUAUAAGACUGGGAUAACUUCGGGAAACCGUAGCUAAUACCGGAUAAUAUUUUGAACCGCAUGGUUCAAAAGUGAAAGACGGUCUUGCUGUCACUUAUAGAUGGAUCCGCGCUGCAUUAGCUAGUUGGUAAGGUAACGGCUUACCAAGGCAACGAUGCGUAGCCGACCUGAGAGGGUGAUCGGCCACACUGGAACUGAGACACGGUCCAGACUCCUACGGGAGGCAGCAGUAGGGAAUCUUCCGCAAAGGGCGAAAGCCUGACGGAGCAACGCCGCGUGAGUGAUGAAGGUCUUCGGAUCGUAAAACUCUGUUAUUAGGGAAGAACAAAUGUGUAAGUAACUGUGCACAUCUUGACGGUACCUAAUCAGAAAGCCACGGCUAACUACGUG